GACGAACGCUGGCGGCGUGCUUAACACAUGCAAGUCGAACGGAAAGGCCCUGCUUUUGUGGGGUGCUCGAGUGGCGAACGGGUGAGUAACACGUGAGUAACCUGCCCUUGACUUUGGGAUAACUUCAGGAAACUGGGGCUAAUACCGGAUAGGAGCUCCUGCUGCAUGGUGGGGGUUGGAAAGUUUCGGCGGUUGGGGAUGGACUCGCGGCUUAUCAGCUUGUUGGUGGGGUAGGGGCUUACCCAGGCUUUGACGGGUAGCCGGCCUGGGAGGGUGACCGGGCACAAGGCGACUGAGGUACGGCGCAGACGCCAACGGUAGGCAGCAGUGGGGAAUAUGGCACAAUGGGCGGAAGCCUGAUGCAGCAACGCCGCGUGCGGGAUGACGGCCUUCGGGGUGUAAACCGCUUUCGCCUGUGACGAAGCGUGAGUGACGGUAAUGGGUAAAGAAGCACCGGCUAACUACGUG
rnacentral:rRNA from 1 species